GUGGGGAAUAUUGGACAAUGGGCGAAAGCCUGAUCCAGCCAUGCCGCGUGUGUGAAGAAGGUCUUCGGAUUGUAAAGCACUUUAAGUUGGGAGGAAGGGCAGUAAGUUAAUACCUUGCUGUUUUGACGUUACCAACAGAAUAAGCACCGGCUAACUUCGUGCCAGCAGCCGCGGUAAUACGAAGGGUGCAAGCGUUAAUCGGAAUUACUGGGCGUAAAGCGCGCGUAGGUGGUUCAGCAAGUUGAAGGUGAAAUCCCCGGGCUCAACCUGGGAACUGCCUCCAAAACUACUGAGCUAGAGUACGGUAGAGGGUAGUGGAAUUUCCUGUGUAGCGGUGAAAUGCGUAGAUAUAGGAAGGAACACCAGUGGCGAAGGCGACUACCUGGACUGAUACUGACACUGAGGUGCGAAAGCGUGGGGAGCAAACAGGAUUAGAAACCCCAGUAGUCCG
rnacentral:rRNA from 1 species